UUUAGGACCACAGGGGUGGAACAGUUGUACCCCAAACCUCCUAAUGUUUAGGAUACAACUGCUCCCCUCCUGUGGUCAGUUUCCAGUUCAGCCACCAUUUUCACACUUCUUUCCAUUUCAUUCCUAUUUCUCUACUGCUAUAGUCUCAGAUAUAAUUCAAAAGUCUGGCUUGGAGUCUAAGUACCUUUUCUAUUCUGCUACAUCAUAGUCAAGAAAAUGCUUACUGAUCCAAACACGACUGAGGUCCCUGCACCCUGAAAUCUCACUUGAGGGGCUGUCACAUAGAAAAGAGCAAAGACUUGUUCUUUGCUUCCCCCAAGAGCAGGAAUGUAAUUCUAGAUGUUGUUGGACUACAGUUCCCAUUGUCCCUGACCAUUGCCAUGAUGGAUGGGGCUGAUGGGAGUUGUAGUCCAAAACAUCUGGAGGGCAACAGGCUCAUAAUGGUUUAUGUAGAAUAUAUCAAAGAAGAUUAAGUGAGCAUAAAGCUUAUCAACAGGCCAAUUAAGAUCCAAAUGUAGCUCGAUAGCUAAUGCUAGGAAGUACAUAGCUAGCAACUUUCCUGCAACCAUUACACCUAGACUCAAGAGUCCAGAACCCCCUCACAGUUCAUUUGGCAGCUGUUCCCUUAUAAAGGCUCCUAGGUGGAAGAGAGUAGGACAUGGCAGGUGGAAGCAGCUGUGCCUUGAUGGCAAACAGUCUUCCCUCCCUUGUUUCAAGUGGUAUGAGUAUCACUUGUUGAAAAGCUAAAGGACAGAGGCAGAGUUUGUUAUAUCUUUAGCUUGCCACCAAGAACAACUGCAGCCAAAGCCAAUGAACUGCCAUUAGAUCCUGUAGUCUUCUAGGUGUUGCUGGGCUCCAUCUUCUAUCAGCCAUAGCCAGCAUAACCAACUGUCAGGCAUGAUGGAAGCUGUAGUCCAACAACAACUGAAGGACCAUAGGUUUUCCACCCUUCAUAUAUAGAUAUAUGUAUUUGAUUUUAUUUUUUCAUAUAAAUAUAUCAUCAAAGUCCCCAGAGCAAGAUGAAUGCUGUGUGAACUCAGAAGGCACACACAAGUAGCAGAACGAUGCUCUGUCAUUGCCUUUUGAUUUUUCCAUAAAGUGAAUGGAAUUCUAAUUAAGUGCAUGUCGGAGUUCAUGCACCCUCAUGUUGACUGCUCAAAUUCUGUGCAAAGCUAUAAAGUGUAUACGAGCCAUAGGUGAGGAUAAACAGGAAUAUUUACAGAGGUCAAUUCCUGAAGUCACUUUGUGACUUAUGUAAAAUCUAUUUUUUUUAACUUCAGUGUGGAAAGCUCAUAUCUUUACAGACAGCAGUAUUAUGAACAAUAAAACAGUCCUAACAACCAAACAGCACCUGUAAAUGAACGACAUUUACACAGUUCUUUUGAACUCAAGCUUAGAUGCUAUCAAUCUUAUAAAGCACAGAGCCGUUAAUUCAAUGUUUAACUAACCUUACUUUCAUCUUCUCAUAGUCUUUCCUUGUGCUAGUCUAUUCAUUGUGUAGUAAAUAAUAAAGACUACUGAGCAAUGACUACAACCCAUCUUCCCCAUAAUGACAUGUUUAUGGGGUUUGUCAAAACUCAUAAUCUGAGUCGCCUGGACGGAAUGACUUGAGGAGGAGGUGGGGUGCAGGCACUCAUGUCACAGGAAAUAAAUGCCUGAUGGUUGCUUUCCAACAGGAGAACUGUGAGCCUUGUGGAAACUUUCAUGGAGGCUGUUUCUCUGGAGGCAGGAAGAACACCCUCAAGUGAAAAACAGAAACAUUUGCAGCGGUCAGAUCACACCUCCUUCUAUGCUAAAGACAUCAAAGUUCCAGAAUAACUAGGAAAUAUUUUUUAAGAGCCAAAAAGUAUUUGGGACAAGAUUUUUGGAUUCAUCCUGGCAGUAGACUUGAAAGAACUCCACACCAGCUGUUUCCUGUUGUUUCAAAGCACAGGGUCUGAUACUGGCCUUUACUCAUCCACAUAGCUAAUAAGUGUGGACUAUGUAGUCCAUGUGGCUGGUUUUCCACAUAAUCUGCAUGAAAGUUUCAAAGGAAAGAGGUAUCUUCCUUUACCUGGGUUGUCUUCCAUCAUCUCAGUUGUAUGCUACUCUGCUGUCCGAACGGCAGAGUGAAAGGUACUUUGGACAGGCUGCCAAAUUACUAUGGUUAUAUAUUACAUUUUAAUCUCACUGUUCCUCCAAAAAGCUCAAGGUGAGAUCUUUAUUGAUACAACAACCUUUUCCAUAAUAAACUGUUGUUGCUGUUUCGCAGGUGAGAUUCAGAUGCAGACCAGGUUGAGCAGUUAAAGUGGAUUUGGCACACUUGAGCUUCCAUAAUCGGCUUCCAAUUUUGGAGGGACUUUUUGUGGUAAGGAAAGUGAUGGGAAAUGCAUUGGAAAGCAUACAAUAGAAAUGUGCCACCCCACCCACCGGGUCAAAUACAAAUGAAUGCUCAGAAAACACUUGAUCAAGAUGAGUUCUUACUAAACAGGUCAUCUGGAAGCAACCCAAGUGCCAGACAAGCAUGCUGAGGAAGUGAAAUCUGGAGAAGGAUCUCUGAAUAUUAUCUUAAACUAUGGACAGGUUUCUGCUGGAGAUGGUGGUCCUCAGCUAGCACUUUGGAAAAAAGCUAGGUGCUAGUAAAAAGUUUUAAAAACCUUGUCAUGAUAUGUUCACAGUCGUCAGAUCCAGUAAACAAUCUGAACAAUCUGGCCAUGGUAACCAGUAUCAGUUGUAGCUUCCAGAUGCUGUUCAAGGCUGGCCCCACAGCCAACACAAGAGUGGAAAUGGCAGGUAAGGGGUUCACAAGAUCCCAGCACGUUGUCUCAUUCAGGAUUUAAUGACAGGGUUCUGCAUCAUUUAAAGUUUCUGUGUGGUUUUCAAUGCCAGUCCCUCACAGAGAUUGUUGUUAGAUGUAGAGGAAUUAAAAGUACCAGGCAUGAUUUUCAUUUCCCCUGUAUCAAUGACACACCUGAAGCCACAGUAACUGUAAUCCUAUUAAAUUAAACAUAUGUAUUACAUGUACAGUUGAAAAUUCUUAUGUUUGAUUUUAUUAAAUGUUCAGCACUGGAUUUAAGCCCCAUUCCCAUAAAUUAAUGGGAGUUGGGGCUGUCAACUUAAUAAAUUAUUUUAAUCAAUUAA